AAUUUUCCGCAAUGGGCGAAAGCCUGACGGAGCAAUACCGCUUGAGGGAAGAAUGCAUGUGGGUUGUAAACCUGUUUUAUCAGGGAAGAAUUUUGACUGUACCUGAUGAAUAAGCAUCGGCUAACUCCGUGCCAGCAGCCGCGGUAAUACGGGGGAUGCAAGCGUUAUCCGGAAUCAUUGGGGGUAAAGGGUCGGUAGGUGGUUUAGUAAGUGGGCUGUUAAAUAUUGGGGUUCAACCCUAAAACAGCAGUGGAAAAUACUAGAUUUGAGUAUAGUAAGGGCAAAGGAAAUUCCCAGUGUAGCGGGGAAAUGCUUAGAAUUUGGGAAGAACAACAGGAGGGAGAGCGCUUUGUGUGACAUUAUCUGACAUUCGGAGAGGAAAGGUAAGGGAGAAAAAGCAAUUAGAUCCCCGGUAGUCUCCACACUA
rnacentral:rRNA from 1 species